GACGAACGCUGGCGGCGUGCUUAACACAUGCAAGUCGAGCGGUAAGGCCCUUCGGGGUACCCGAGCGGCGAACGGGUGAGUAACACGUGAGUAAUCUGCCCAUCACUUCGGGAUAACUCCGGGAAACCGGUGCUAAUACCGAAUAUGACCACUUCAGGCAUCUGAUGGUGGUGGAAAGUUCCGGCGGUGAUGGAUGAGCUCGCGGCCUAUCAGCUUGUUGGUGGGGUAGUGGCCUACCAAGGCUUCGACGGGUAGCCGGCCUGAGAGGGUGACCGGCCACACUGGGACUGAGACACGGCCCAGACUCCUACGGGAGGCAGCAGUGGGGAAUAUUGGACAAUGGGCGAAAGCCUGAUCCAGCAACGACGCGUGAGGGAUGACGGCCUUCGGGUUGUAAACCUCUUUCAGCAGGGACGAAGCGCAAGUGACGGUACCUGCAGAAGAAGCACCGGCAAACUACGUG
rnacentral:rRNA from 1 species